rnacentral:miRNA from 1 species
CGCUGACCUGCACAGCUGGGGGCGUGGGGCUGCAGGAGCUCCUCACGGUCCUGUGCCCUCCCGGCCUCCACCUGUCCCGGGGACCGCAUGAUCCUGAGCUGUGUCCCCGGCACCCUGAGAUCCGGGGCCUGCGCUGCUGGGA